rnacentral:lncRNA from 1 species
CCCUUCCCUUGAAAACCUGUAUUAGUAUUACAGCCUUGUUCCUUCGCAGAACUACCACACGGCCUCCUUGCUCUGAUUGCAAAGCGUGUUAAAGUGAUUGAAGAUUUCAUUGCUUUUGGUGCUGUUUCUGCCUCUUGGCGAACUGUUGUUACAAAGAAAAACUUUGAUGUGUUUCGCCCCAAGUUCCGCUGCUAAUGCUGGCUGAUAAAGACAAUGAUUAUCGAAAAUUUUACUCUCUUUCCAAGAAGAAAGUUUUGCGUAUAUUUCUCCCCGAAGCUAGAGGGCGACAGUGUUUUAUAUCAGAGGGAUGGAUCUGUACCGCGUCAUACACCGGAGAGGUAAACUUGUUGCAUCCUUUUUCCCGUACCCUAAUCCAACUUCCUCCGCAACAGGCCUUAUUGGCUUUUGAUUGCGACGAUACAGAUGGAGGAUAUCCAUGCAUUGACCAAAUUGUGUUAUCUGCUAGCCCUUCUCUUACAUCAGAUUAUAUAUUAGUGGUUUCUUUUUAUGGAUAUAAAAAUUGUUUGGGUUUUUGGCGACCUGGAGAUCUCAACUGGACUAAAUAUUAAAAUCGACAGAUCUAAUGUAGUAGGUGGAGUUAUCAGUCUCAAAUACUAACUAUAAGGGUAAAUUUUAUGCUGUGUAUUACUCUGGCCAAGUCUGGGUUUAUGAUGUACUAAUUGGAGAGUCACGUCAUCUUGUUUGACUUGAGGAUGAUAUGUUUAAACGGCCAUUAGUUCAGUUCUACCUAGUAGAAGUAUUAGGUGCACUAUUAUUGGUUAGCAGAUUUGCCUCAGAGGUUCCAAAUAGUGGUGCUGAAACCUUGAAAUUUAAAGUAUUUGAAUUAGAUGUAAUCAAAGGUGAAUUGAAGGAGAUUAAUACCUUGGGAGAAUCAUCAUCAAUUUUCUUGGGCCGUAAUAGAGCAAGUUCUAUUGACUCUUCUAAGUUUAUCGGAGUCAAGCCGAAUCACAUAUAUUUUACUGAUGAUUGGACUGAUUUCUAUAGUACAUUGGACGGAGGGGGCGGAAGAGAUAUGCGGGCUUACGAUCUUGAAAGCGGAAAAAUUAAAUCUUUUUAUCCUGGAUUCUCCCUAAGUCGUAUUUGCCCGCCAACUUGGGUUGCACCAUCAUUCUAAUAAUGUGAUUGAUAUUUUUUUUAUUGGCGCUUUUCAAUGUGGUAAUUUUCUUAUUUUCCUGAGUUAUUAGUUUGAAGCUAAGUUGAUCUAUUUAUUUUUCUUCAUUGUAAUCUUGUAGAUGUAUGAAUGGUAUCUUACUUAAUUAGUUAUAAUUGUACUCUCUAAAUGAUUUUGAGGCUUAUAAUACACCAUUUGCAAACAAAAACCCUGUAAUUUGAUUCCCCUCCUACAUUCUAAUUUCAGUGUUCUAUUUUCACUAUGAAAAGAAAUCACAAGAAAUUUGAUUUGAAAAAUAAUACUCAAAAUUUAGAUGGAUAAGAACAUUGGAAAGAGUACGUAAACACACUUACUCUGUUUUCUCUAUAGAAAAUUUCUGGAUUGCUGGCAUAACAUGAAGUAAUCAUCCUUUAUAGAUUGGAUUGUCGAGCUCUGUUAAUGGCCUAAUGCCCUGGAGGAAAACAAUAGAGAGGAUGUAAGCAAAUUUUGAUAGCAGAUCCUGCAAUGGCCUUCACUGGUGGCAAAAGUACUCAUAGAAAAACCGUAGUCUCUUUAUUUGUGUAUUUCACCAACACCAGCAACUAUAUUCAAUCCUACAAAAAGAACACAUGCUCGCUUAUUUCAAAUGAAUUGGUGAUUAAUGGUCAAUAGGUUAGAAAGGGGUUAUAUUUUAAUUUUUAAUAUUCUAACUACUUCUACUUUGAAACCAAUUUUUAAUUUGAUCACAUGACUUGUGAAAUUCAGUUUCGACUCAAACGGAAUCAACUCAGAGACUAUAUUUCUUUAUUUGUUCUAGCUCCAUCUUGAGAACCGUGUUCACAAUAGUAUAAAACAGAUGUAAACAACUUCCAAGUCGAAAUUAUGAACGACUUGACUUGAUUAUAAAAGUUUUACUGCCAUACAGAAUAAGUCUCCACUAUGAAAAUCGAAACUUCACAAGUCUAUAAGAUGCAGAAGGCAACAGAUCCAAACUCAAAGCUUCACCAUCAAGAAAUAAGUAUUAUAUUACAAAUAUAGUCAGGCCAAAAUUACAAUAAACUGCCUUGCUGUUGCAUUUUAGAGAAAAAAAAGCAUGUAAAUCAUUUUUUCAAGCUCUAAUGUUGGAAAAAAGUAAGCUGAAAGGUAACCAAAAUAGUUGACAGAAUAUAAAUUCAUUACUAACCUUUCAAUAAUUUUGUUCACAAAGCCCUUCUCUAUUCUCAUUGAGUUCUUCUUAAUACCAUUGACUGCUAAAAAAUGGACACAAAAUAGUCAAUAAAUACAUGUAUGUGCAAAAUCAGUUAACAAAAGCGAGAAAGGCUCAAGAACUCUACAAUAGCUUUCAAUAAAUUUGGGUUUCUUAACUGUGGGGGUCAGAGAAUGUCCAUUGAGGCAAUUUGGACAGGAACAGCAAAUUUGACACCAAUAUUAAAAAGAGAGCGUGCAUUGCAUAAUCAAUUAAUGAAAAGAGCCAAAGACACAUGUAAUUCCAGAAUAGCCAUUAGAAGUUUAUGUACCUUCUAGAGUCAGCGAUGACACGACAAAUAUAGCGUAUAGAAUUUGAAGAUAAAGACGCAAAUCCUCAAAAAAAUACUGCUUACAUGUUCGUCAUGUCACACCCCUUUUUUCACCCUAACCCUCUUUAAAAUAAAUAAUAAAGUGGUUUUUGAAGAUCAAAAGGGUUUUUAAAUUGAAAGUGACAAAAAUUGUGUUUUAAAGGACUUUGAGAGUAGCCACUUGACAUUUGGUUUCGGUGUGCCAAGUCACCGUUUUAACAAAAAAUAAUUUUUCCUUUUAAAAUACGUUUUGACUCUUAAACAUAGUCUGCAACAGAAAUUCCAAGAAAGGAGGUUCAUUCGACUCGGGGAGAAGGUGUUAGGCGUUCCCGAGUCCCGUACCUAGUACGGUUGCAUACUUGAUCUAAUUGGCUUUUAGCAAUACUCUAAUGGAGGUAAAACACACAAAAAGGAAAAAACAAACACAAAGAAGGUUCAAGGUUGUCCCCACGUGAAAAAAGAAAAUAAGAGAAAAAUAAAAACAAAAAUUCUACGCCUCUUCAGUGUCGUCCCGUCUUUGGCCUCCAAGUACUACGGGCAUUCCCCGGAUAAAUAAUAAACUAAAGGGACAACCUCUCACCUUGAGUAAAAGAAAAGACCUAAAGUUUGCCUACUCAGGUGUGGUCGGCCUAAAUAUGCUACUAGCGGAAUAAUAUAAUAAAAAAAUAAAAAUAAAGUAGAAAAAAGGAAACUUAUUUCAUACUCAUGUUCUUUGUUCAUGUAUUUAACCCAGCCCAAUUCCUGAUCAUGCAAGUCAAGAUUUAAUAGCUAAUCCCCACGGCCCAUAUCAAUCAACGUUCAUUCAAAUAAUUUCAUAUCCAACUAAAAGCAAUCAACAGAAUAAGGCAUCUAGCACAUAACAUCCAAGCCACUUAAAGAAGAUGAGAACUAAACUAAAAUACUAGUAGAAUAAGGAAAUGUGAAUUAAAACCAAUAAGAAGAACCAUUUAAAGACUACUGCACCACCCCCAAUUUUAGCUUCUCAAUUGUAUCAUAUCUGAACCUCUGUUUUAAAAGGCGUUUCUGGGGCGAGCCCGGGGCGAGGCAUACCAAAAACGCUCCGGGCGAUGGUGUGGGACGAAAGUCUCAAGAGGCGUACGCCCCGCAAUUUGGGGCGUACGCCCGGGCGUUCGGGGCGCGUUUUUUUAGUAAGGAGUAAGCCCCAGAGACUUUUUCAAAUUAAAACAAAAUUUGUUGAAUUAGUCCUUCAUAUAAUACCCAAAUUCUCAAAAGUCAGUUUGGAAUUACUCAAAAGGUUUAAAAAGGAACUCAAAAAGUAUUAAAUUUAAAAGUAAAGACCUUUUUAAUUGAUUUAAGCCCUAAUUCAUGAUUUUCCCAAUUUUUUAUCUUGUCCGCUAGUCUGCUAAUAUAUCCCAAAAGCAACGAAUAUUUUACAAAUACAAAGAGAACUACAUUCUUCUUNNNNNNNNNNNNNNNNNNNNNNNNNCUUCAAUAUUUAUGCAAUUUUACCUGUUUAUAAAUAUUUAUUGUCAUUAUAUUAUUUUAUAAAAUAUUAAAAACUAAAUACCUAUGGGGCUUACGCCCCGCUGAGGCAUAUGUAAAACGCCUCGCCUUACGCCCACGCCUUUUAGAACACUGAACUGAACCUUUCAUUGAGUGAGUUUAAAACUGCCUCCUUUUUAUCCUAAAGGCCAAGACUAAUUAUGUGACUCAAAUUCACCACAAUAGGCAUCUAAACAAAUCAAUCAAAAACAGCAGGAUGGCAUGGCAAUUUAGUGUGCCAAACAACUAGUGACAUUCAAGCACAUGAAAACAAUUAAGUGACAGCAGGUAUUUAGAAGCAGUAAACAGGACCCAGAACCAACAUAUAUUUUAAAGGACUAGAGAAUAUCUUUAACCAAACACUAUCAAAGAACUUUCAAAAGAACGACUAAAGAAGAAAAAUGUCAUGCUGGGCACUCAUUUUUAAGAGCUUUAAACCAUUUGACAAGAACAAAUACUCCAACAUUUACACAUGAGAAACAAAACCAGAUUACGCUAAAAGAAUGGAUGAAACAGGCUACAUGGCACUUUUGACUCAGACUCUAAAUUCCAACGAUCAUUUAUCAACUUUCAAGCAAGCACAGUGAAAUUAUCAAACUUACAACUUUUAAUGAGACUAAAUAAACCUUUUAAACACACUCCAUAUUCAGUUUACUCACAAACGCUCGUGCGACCAACAUCAAAACAAGUGCAAAACAAGAGCAAUCCAUGGACAAACUAGUUGGAGCACGACAAUCGACGGGUCUCAACUUUUCACCUCAAAACAUAACAAUUAAUACAAAUUCCGACUUUGAACUCAAGUCGUGGAACUUUAGAUUAUCUUUUAAAAUCCUUAAAAUGAAAGCCAAAACCAAUUCAAACCUAAUCCAAGAGGCAUGAACAGUCAUUAAUCGACAAAUAAAAUAGGACAGCUUCAAAUAACAAGUUUAAAACAAGAAGAUUAACCAAAUAGGCUACAUAUGUGUAAAACUUCAAGCAGUCAAAUACCAAAUCAAACUGCAAUCCGGCGCAUCUAAACCAGACAGAUCCACUCGAAACCAGUAAUGAAUUCAAAUUCCCUCAAACACGAUUCUAUCACACAUAAUAAUCAACACCAAAGACAUGGUAAGAGUAAGGAGAAAAGAGAUAGACCUUGAAAAUAAUUCCUUAAUUGAUUUGCUGUUUGAAAAAUGAUAUACAUGAUUGCAGCAACGGAAGUUCAAAAAGCGACAAUACAGCAACAAGAAAUAAGAGCCACGAACGAACCUCAAUCGGCACCUCCAUCACUCGAACAAGCUCCAUACGAGCAGAACUACACCAACUCCAAUUGAAACCAGAAAAGGCAGAAACAGAAACUUUGGAGCAAACACUAAUGCCUCAAACAAACUCCAUAAUUUGAAACCAAAAUCAAAUGGGAGAGACUAAGCUUCUUUUUUUGUAUUUUCGACUUUUAAAGUAAACUGGAACUGGAACGAACUGUAUCUUUUUUUCCUUCUAAAUUUUUGAAAGAGCUCGAAUGGAAAAUCAGAAGAGGAAGAUCAAAAAGCAAAAACCAAAACCCUAGUUCUUCCCCUAAUUUUUGUCCGAAAUUUUUCUCGAAACUUUUGUCUCAAUUUCCCUCUGCCCAAAAAAGCCCGAAAAUGAGAGAAUUUACAAGAACUCUCGGAGUUUCUAUUCCUCUCCUCCAAGAAAUCUCGUGUGGGCCCCAAACCAAAAAUCCGAAAUCCUUUUUUGGAUAAAUGGAUAAAUUCCAGAGAAGUGGAAGAUCUUGGAUCAAAAACAUUAAUCCAAAGGCCCUCCAUUUUUCUAAGAUUUAUCAAGGGUUCCGAUUUGUUCAAGAGAAAGGCGAAAAGGAUGGAAAAAAGCGUGAGGCAUAUUCGAUUGUCAGAGUUUGUUGGGAUUUUGGUGACGUGAAAGAGGGAGAGAGGAGGGAUCAUGAGUUAACUCGGCCGAUUUAGUGAGUUUUCCGGCGAGUUGUGGCGUGAUGGCGGCGGCAGGUUAGGUGGUGCGGCUGAUUUAGGCUGAUUAGGGUUUGUGUGUUAUAAUUUGGUGUAAGGAAAAAAUGUGAGCUGUUGGAUUAGAAGUGCUUGGAUGGCUGAGAUUAAAGAAUGAAAAAUGUGGCGGGUCAAAGUGUUUAGACGGGUCGAGUAGGCGGGUUAAGAGAUUGGGGCUGAUGGGGGAGGGACUCGGUAAGAGAGAACUGGGCUGCUGAAAUUCUUAAAAUUGGACCAACUUUAUCUAAUUCAAACCCAAACAAAGCAACUAACCCAAAAUCAUUCUUUCUUUGGAUAAAAAUAAGAGUAUUAUAAAAUACUAAUAAGGAAUAAAAAUAAAGAACUAAAUUAAGGUAAACCAUAAUAUAAAGUGUAACUAUUUUUGUAUUUUCAAGGAUUAUACUAAAAUAAAAGUAGAGAAAAGUAAGUUAGAAUCAUGGUAUAAUUAAACUAAUAUCACUAUAAAAAUACUAAUGACCCUAAGUAAAAAUAAGAAAAUAUAUAAUGAAACUAUUUUAUGUGUUUUCAAAUUUAUAUUCUAAAAUUAAAAAUAAGAGUAAACUAAAAACCAAUUAAAAUAAUUCAAGUAAAUAUUUUAAAAAUACCAGGAAUAAUAAAACUAAGCGGGUCAAAAAUUACGUGCUUGCCCGUCGAAAAUACUGAAUCGCUAGAGCCAAAUACUCAAAUCAAAAUUGAGAGAGAAAGAAGAGGAUAGAGUUAUGGAAGAGUGAAACAGUUUCUAGAAUGUGCAAUUACCAAAGGAAGAAAGAAACUUAUGUAUUCUUGCCCAAGUUUGACCCAAUUAUACAUCAAAAAUUCUGGCUCUAAUAGAAAUGCCUUUUAAACAUAAGAACUGUAAAUCACCCUAAUUUCAAUUUUAGUUUGUCCAAUUCCACUCUUUAUGUGUAUUCAUUGAACAAAAUACAGAAAAAAUAUAAUGGACAAACUAUUCAUAGAAGAAACCAAAGAUAAAGAAGCCAAUAUUUCACCAAAUAAUACUCACCAGAAAAGAUAACGGCAACAAAUGCACAAAAAGGACCCACACCUGAGACGACAAAGAAUGGAUCCCAUCUCUGCUUCACAAAAAAAGUGAAUGAUGGUAAAGUAGCAAAUACAUAAAGCAUUGGCUACUAUUUGGAGAGAAUCAAACAAAUCACUGGCAACCAUGAGCUAUUUUAAGAGAAAAUUCACAUGCAUACAAGCGUAGGAACAACAAAAAAUUCUAAAUUAAAAAUGGAAAAAACCAAAACAUGAAUUUUCAGCAGAUAAAAUAGAAGUUGAUGAGUGAAUUAAUUUUCUGACAAAAAAUUAGAUCUUUUGUCAAUUCCGUAACCUAGCCAACACACAUGCAUCUAUAGAACUCAGCAAGAGAGUAGCAAAACAAAAUUAACAAAUACCCACCAGAAACAGGCGCAGAAAAAAAAAAGAAAAAAGAAUUUACCAGAAUUCAAAAAUAUAGACGCCAUAGACAAACUUCAACCAAGACGGAAAACUUUUGGAACGAAACCCAUAAGAGUUGAGAGAAAGAGCAGUAUGAUAGGAAGAUUUACCAUUUUACUUCCUAGGAUUGAGAUGAGACGAUAUAUCUAAGAAUAUGAAAUCAUAGAGAAAGAAUUAGGAGAAAGAAGAACAGGG